rnacentral:rRNA from 1 species
AUGGAGAAGACGACGGCCGCGCACGGCGGGGGCGCCCGCUGGCUGCCUCGCCUGGUCCUGCUCGCCAUCCUGUCCGCCACGCCGUGGCUCCUCAUCGUCUACUGCCACCGCGCGGCGCCCGUCAGCGCGCCGCGCCAGUCGCUCGUCACCGCCGCCCCCGCGUCCGGCCGCGAGGACGGCGCCCAGCCGCGCUUCCCCCCCGCCCAGGAGCAGCAGGUCAACAAGCUCCUGAUCGCCUCCGCGGCGGGGGGCGAGGUGCGCCGGAGCAGCGACGUUGGCGUCGCCGGGGAGGACGCCUGCCGCGGGCGGUACCUGUACGUCCACGACCUGCCCCCGCGGUUCAACGCCGACGUCCUCGCCGACUGCAAGCACUGGUACCCGUGGAUCGACAUGUGCCAGUACCUCGCCAACGGCGGCCUCGGCGCGCCCCUGGACAACGCGGACGGCGUGUUCGCCGACGAGGGCUGGUACGCCACCGACCACUUCGGCCUCGACGUCAUCUUCCACGCCCGCGUCCGGCAGUACGACUGCCUCACCGACGACUCCUCCCGCGCCGCCGCCGUCUUCGUGCCGUUCUACGCUGGGUUUGACGUCGUGCGGAACCUGUGGAGCAACAACGCCACGACCAAGGACGCCGCGGCGGUCGAGCUCGUCGACUGGCUGACGCGGCGGCCCGAGUGGCGCGCCAUGGGCGGGCGCGACCACUUCUUCAUGUCCGGGAGGACGGCGUGGGACCACCAGCGGCAGACGGACAGCGACUCGGAGUGGGGCAACAAGCUGCUCCGUUUGCCGGCGGUGUGGAACAUGACGGUGCUGUUCGUGGAGAAGGUGCCGUGGACGGACUUCGACUUCGCCGUGCCGUACCCGACCUACUUCCACCCGGCCAAGGACGCGGACGUCCUCCAGUGGCAGCAGCGGAUGCGAGGCAUGAAGCGGGACUACCUCUUCUCCUUCGCCGGCGGCGAGCGUCCCGGAGACCCGAACUCCAUCCGGCACCACCUCAUCCGGGAGUGCGGCGCCUCCAGCUUCUGCAACCUGGUGCAGUGCCGGAAGAGCGAGAAGAACUGCCUCGUGCCCAGCACCUUCAUGCGCGUCUUCCAAGGGGCGCGCUUCUGCCUGCAGCCGCCGGGCGACACGUACACGCGGCGGUCGGCGUUCGACGCCAUCCUCGCCGGCUGCGUGCCGGUGUUCUUCCACCCGGACUCCGCGUACAGGCAGUACAGGUGGCACCUCCCCGACGACCGCGACUCCUACUCCGUGUUCAUCUCCGAGGAGGAUGUGCGCAGCGGCAACGCCAGCAGCGUGGAGGAGACGCUCCGGCGGAUCCCGCAGGAGGUGGCGGAGCGGCUGACGGAGACGGUGAUCGGGCUGAUACCGCGGCUGGUGUACGCGGACCCGCGGUCGAAGCUGGAGACGCUCAGGGACGCCGUGGAUGUCACCGUGGAGGCGGUCAUCGACAGGGUCAGCAAGCUGAGGAAGGAGAUGGGUCACGGCGAUCUGACGCAAACGGCGACAAAGGUUUCUAGCAAAGUCAUGGCAGAUAAUUAG